GAAAAACCAACAGUGGUUUAAAACCAGGACCAGCAGGUCCAACCUAUACUAGCUAAACCACUUAUUGAUGAAAAACCCCCUCAAACAAAGCAACAUUGAUUAAGAGUCAAUUAAAUAAAGCAAAAUNNNNNNNNNNNAUUGGCUCACCAAUCCAUUCUAUCUUAUUGGAGAAUCCAAAGCUCAAACUCAGAAACUUCUGGCCUGAUACAAAUUUGCAAUCAAAAUCUCCCUUUCUC
rnacentral:misc_RNA from 1 species